AGAGUUUGAUCCUGGCUCAGGAUGAACGCUGGCGGCGUGCUUAACACAUGCAAGUCGAACGAAGCACUUUAUUUGAUUUCCUUCGGGACUGAUUAUUUUGUGACUGAGUGGCGGACGGGUGAGUAACGCGUGGGUAACCUGCCUUGUACAGGGGGAUAACAGUUGGAAACGGCUGCUAAUACCGCAUAAGCGCACAGCAUCGCAUGAUGCAGUGUGAAAAACUCCGGUGGUAUAAGAUGGACCCGCGUUGGAUUAGCUAGUUGGUGAGGUAACGGCCCACCAAGGCGACGAUCCAUAGCCGACCUGAGAGGGUGACCGGCCACAUUGGGACUGAGACACGGCCCAAACUCCUACGGGAGGCAGCAGUGGGGAAUAUUGCACAAUGGGGGAAACCCUGAUGCAGCGACGCCGCGUGGAGGAAGAAGGUCUUCGGAUUGUAAACUCCUGUUGUUGGGGAAGAUAAUGACGGUACCCAACAAGGAAGUGACGGCUAACUACGUGCCAGCAGCCGCGGUAAAACGUAGGUCACAAGCGUUGUCCGGAAUUACUGGGUGUAAAGGGAGCGCAGGCGGGAAGACAAGUUGGAAGUGAAAUCUAUGGGCUCAACCCAUAAACUGCUUUCAAAACUGUUUUUCUUGAGUAGUGCAGAGGUAGGCGGAAUUCCCGGUGUAGCGGUGGAAUGCGUAGAUAUCGGGAGGAACACCAGUGGCGAAGGCGGCCUACUGGGCACCAACUGACGCUGAGGCUCGAAAGUGUGGGUAGCAAACAGGAUUAGAUACCCUGGUAGUCCACACCGUAAACGAUGAUUACUAGGUGUUGGAGGAUUGACCCCUUCAGUGCCGCAGUUAACACAAUAAGUAAUCCACCUGGGGAGUACGACCGCAAGGUUGAAACUCAAAGGAAUUGACGGGGGCCCGCACAAGCAGUGGAGUAUGUGGUUUAAUUCGACGCAACGCGAAGAACCUUACCAAGUCUUGACAUCCCUUGACAGGCAUAGAAAUAUGUUUUCUCUUCGGAGCAAGGAGACAGGUGGUGCAUGGUUGUCGUCAGCUCGUGUCGUGAGAUGUUGGGUUAAG
rnacentral:rRNA from 1 species